UUAAAUAUAAAAAUUUAAUUUGAAUGUAGAAAUUGUUAAAUUUGAUGAAUUUUUAUCAAUUAUUUUUAUAAAUCAUCGUUCUUAAUGGAACUAGCCAUUAGUUCUGUCUUGAAAUACCAUGGGAAACUUCCUCGUCAUCGAUAUGGGAUAAAUAUGAGGAGUUUUAGUCUAGUCAAGAGUCAGAAGAGAAGAGUUAAAUUUAUUAUCAGUGAACAAAAAAAAAACAACAAAAAUGUAAGAUUAAAAGAUGGGAAAGCAACUCAUCUUGCCAGGGCAACUAAUGGAGACAAUAACGAUGAAGCGUGAAACUGAACAAUGAACAUUUGAACUUUUGUUACAGUUAGUGUUCGGAUAAUUGUCAAAUGGAAUAUAAAUGUUGUCACAUUGAUAAACUCUCUUAGGUAUGUGGAAAGCUUGAACUCUCACACACUCCCAAAACAUUGUUUCUAGAUGUUAGUUAGUU
rnacentral:lncRNA from 1 species